rnacentral:rRNA from 1 species
GCGUGCGGGAAGAAGGCCUUCGGGUUGUAAACCGCUUUUGUUAGGAACGAAAAGGUAUCUGUGAACAACAGGUAUUGCUGACGGUACCUAAAGAAUAAGCACCGGCUAACUACGUGCCAGCAGCCGCGGUAAUACGUAGGGUGCGAGCGUUAAUCGGAAUUACUGGGCGUAAAGCGUGCGCAGGCGGUUGGGUAAGACAGGUGUGAAAUCCCCGAGCUUAACUUGGGAACUGCACUUGUGACUGCUCAACUAGAGUAUGUCAGAGGGAGGUGGAAUUCCAAGUGUAGCAGUGAAAUGCGU